GUGGGGCAGUGAAAACCCUAGAUCGCGAAGCACCCAAUCCCCGCGUCUCCUCCUCCCUUCUCAGCCUCGCUCGAGUGGAGGCAGGUGGGGAACAGAGGCGGCUCGACGACGCAGCGGUGCGAUGGGGCUGGGCUGGUGCGGGGAAGGGCGGCUGCUAUGCAUCGCGGGUCGAGGGCGCGGUGGUGGGUUGGCGGCGGCGACCUGUGUGGCGGCGACGACGGCGUGCGGGAGGAGGAGGGAGGCGGAGCUGCGCCGGCCGCCCAGGUGACAAAGAGGAGGCUGGGGCGCAGCGUGGAGGUGACGGUCGGCCCGCCUGUAGAUGCGAGGCACGGGAGCGGCGAUUGUCGCGGGUCAACGACGCGGUGAUGGGCUGGCGGCAGCGACCUGGCGCGAUGGGGGAUGACCUGGGGCUGACCACCGGACGUGCGGGGACGGAGCGGCAGGUGGUAGCGCGGGGAUGAGGUUCGUCUUGCUUCUCCCUCCUCUCUUUCUCUGUGUAUCUCUCUCUCAUCUCUCACUCUCGUUUUUCUCCUUUUUAUCAUGGACGGCGGCCGGAUCUUUUGGAGAAAGCGGCGCGGUGAUGGACUACUGGAUGCCUAGAAGGGAGGAAGAAGGGGCGGGUGGCAUGGCCUCAACGGGACGAGGAGGAGGCGGAUUCCGGCAUGGCCUGCACGGCUGCACUUUCUUCUCGGUACCUUCGCGUCUAUGGCCUCCUCGCUGUCAAAAUAGAUUGAUCUAAAUCAUCCUUUCGACUCGUGGAGGGCUUGGUGGUCAGCGGCAAGGAUCUGGUUUCUUCUUGCUAAGAUGAGGCAGUGGCAUCUAAAACGGUCUUGUCUCUUACACCACUUGAUGUGCAGCUCAUCCCGCACUACAGCUGGGAAGGAAGGCCCCAAGGCGAA